UAGGGAAUCUUCCACAAUGGGCGCAAGCCUGAUGGAGCAACACCGCGUGAGUGAAGAAGGGUUUCGGCUCGUAAAGCUCCGUUGUUAGAGAAGAACGUGCGUGAGAGCAACUGUUCACGCAGUGACGGUAUCUAACCAGAAAGUCACGGCUAACUACGUGCCAG
rnacentral:rRNA from 1 species